rnacentral:rRNA from 1 species
UCGAGAAUUUUUCACAAUGGGCGAAAGCCUGAUGGAGCGACGCCGCGUGGGGGAUGAAUGGCUUCGGCCCGUAAACCCCUGUCCUUUGCGAACAAGCCUUUCGGCUUAAUACGUCGAGAGCUGAUUGUAGCGGAAGAGGAAGGGACGGCUAACUCUGUGCCAGCAGCCGCGGUAAUACAGAGGUCCCAAGCGGUGUUCGGAUUCACUGGGCGUAAAGGGUGCGUAGGCGGUUGGAUAAGUCUGAUGUGAAAUCUUCGAGCUCAACUCGGAAACUGCAUCGGAAACUAUCCGGCUAGAGGAUUGGAGGGGAGACUGGAAUUCUCGGUGUAGCAGUGAAAUGCGUAGAUAUCGAGAGGAACACCAGUGGCGAAGGCGAGUCUCUGGACAAUUCCUGACGCUGAGGCACGAAAGCUAGGGGAGCAAAC